UACGUAGGGUGCAAGCGUUAAUCGGAAUUACUGGGCGUAAAGCGUGCGCAGGCGGUUGUGCAAGACCGAUGUGAAAUCCCCGGGCUUAACCUGGGAAUGGCAUUGGUGACUGCACGGCUAGAGUGUGUCAGAGGGGGGUAGAAUUCCACGUGUAGCAGUGAAAUGCGUAGAGAUGUGGAGGAAUACCGAUGGCGAAGGCAGCCCCCUGGGAUAACACUGACGCCUCAUGCACGAAAGCGUGGGGAGCAAACAGG
rnacentral:rRNA from 1 species